UACGUAGGGUGCGAGCGUUGUCCGGAAUUACUGGGCGUAAAGAGCUCGUAGGUGGUUUGUCGCGUUGUCCGUGAAAACUCACAACUCAAUUGUGGGCGUGCGGGCGAUACGGGCAGACUGGAGUACUGCAGGGGAGACUGGAAUUCCUGGUGUAGCGGUGGAAUGCGCAGAUAUCAGGAGGAACACCGGUGGCGAAGGCGGGUCUCUGGGCCGAUACUGACGCUGAGGAGCGAAAGCGUGGGGAGCGAACAGG
rnacentral:rRNA from 1 species